rnacentral:lncRNA from 1 species
GGUAGGGUGGGGGUGGGGAGCAGAACUGUAGAAUUAGGAUUCCUCUUGUGCCCGUGUAUUAAUUUAAUCAAGAACGAGUUCUAUUGGUAUUCGGUAGUAUUUUAAUACUGAUGUAAUAGUUAUUCACUUGGAAUUAUAAAAAUUGAAGGUAAUAAUGUUCGACGUUCAUGGAAGUAUGCACUGAUUCUCAAUAAGGAUGUGCAUUUCAGUAUUUUACGUGCGGCACCAUAAAAUACUGUCGUCAAUUACUCUAGGAAACCAAGUGAGUUUCUAGUCCGAAACAUACCCAUGUAUUACCUUUGUAACAUAAUAUGUGGACUGGAAUCUCAGUUAUUUUUUAUGGUUCGGCGACAUAACAUUUCAAAUUGGAAAUGUUCGUUACUGUCUCACUUGAAUAUAUUUUAUAACAAAUGUAUACUACCAAUGGAAAAACACUACUGGGUUCAAAUAUUUGUUAUUAUCGCAAAGUUUGUUAAUAUUCUGUUGACUUUUUAUGAAAUUGUAAUUAAAUGAGGGAACUGAAUUAGUAUCCCAGGGUCAAACGAUGUUGUCUCAAGUAAAUGUGAAAUGUACGUUACACAUUUUAUAUUUGUUAAUAUCGCAUUUUCUAAGUGAGUUCUGACACUGAUGUAUAUUCGAAAUUAUUUAUUUCUAUUGCACAAUCACUUUUAUAAGGAAAGACAUCACCUUCAAUUUAAUGCUGAAAAUAAACAGCACGACAAUUAUUUAGUUUGGGCAGCGUAUACAAAUUCUUGAAAUGUAUGUUACCGCUGUUUAUACAAUAAUUAUCGUCACCAAAAGUUAUACCUUGUUAUUCCAUAAUUUAGUUGUAUAUUCCACUCAAAUACUGCAUGUUAGCAAAUAUGCCUUUUAUAACAGUAUGUUUAUAGAUAUUGAUUUGUGCGCGUAUGACAUGUUCGUUAUUGAAAUGUACGUUAUAUGAAAAGUACGUUUCUCAUGAAAUAAGAAGAAUGCUUGAUUAUUAGUAGGCCCCUACUGCCAAGUGAUUUGCAAGGGGAUUCCACUUUGUAAUCUACGAUCUCAGAGACUGAAAAACGUGGAUGGGAAUAUUUGCACAGAGUGUAAAAGUCAAGCUAAACUAUGGCAAAAACUCGAGCUGAGAUUCAGCAUGCAUGUAGAGAACGCAAAAAGGCAAACGAGGGAGAGAAAUACCUGAAGAAAGAGAGAGAAAGAAGAAAGGUCAAUUAUAUUCCAUCAAGCAAAAUACUGCAAGUUGAGAAGGAUGCGAGUAACUUGCCAGUGGAAGUUUCAUUUAUGAAACAAAGUAGGCAGAUGUUUCAAUGACCCCCACGUCCAGAUGUCAUUUGGAUUAGCCUGGAGUCUGUUUUGUGUAUCAUUCAUGAUCCAGUACCGUCGGGAAAAUCAAAGCGAAUGUUCAAAAUUCCACAGAAAGAGGUUGACAAAAUUGAACUUUGUCAAGAAACUUACGAUACCAAUCAUUAAGAAAGUAUGCCAUUAAUGUUUGGAUGUGACCCAAAAUUAUUGUUCAGUUUAUCUAUCAGCAUAAUCUGAAACCUCGAAAGAUGUUUUUUCCUACUAUUUUCAUUAGUUUAAUUAGUGGCCGAAUACAAAUAUUUGCAGAUGUGAAAUGUACGUUACACUGUGUAAAGGAAUUAUUAUGUCGAAGAUAGACACUCAUUAUUAAAGUUUUAGGUUAUCAGAAAAUAAGAUAACUAUAAUUCUUCGUUUCCUUGGUGUUUUUCACUUAAACUAGUAUUUCUUAGAUUUUAGCUUGUUCGUGAAACGUACGUUACAAUUUACUAUUAUGAAAAGGAUAGCAAUUGUGUACUGCGGCGAUCAGCAAACAUGUUUAGGUAUUGAGCUUUCUUUCUUGCUUGUCUUUGAAAUCACAAAAUAUGUGCAUUUAUUAUUUCAUUUCAAGAUGCUACUUAGUGAGUGAACUUGUAGCAGAUCAGUUUGAAGUUAAAAUCCUAUUUGGCAGUGGUUUACUGUGACUGUGUUGGUGCCAAUACAAAUAAAUAAAUUUUGAUAUCAG